CGAGGAUGAUUUGAGGAGACAUAUGUUGAAUUGAAUCAUUCGAGCAGCGGACGGGUGAGUAAAGCACAAGGACUUGUCCGAAAGAGAGGGACACCUGCGGGAAACCGGAGCUAAUACCUCAUAAGCCGGAAGGUGAAAAGCAGAGAUGCGCUUUUGGAGAGACUUGUGUCCUAUCAGGCAGUUGGUGAGGUGAAAGCUCACCAAACCGAAGACGGGUAGCCGGACUGAGAGGUCGACCGGCCACAUUGGAACUGAGAGACGGUCCAGACUCCUACGGGAGGCAGCAGUGGGGAAUAUUGGGCAAUGGGCGGAAGCCUGACCCAGCGACGCCGCGUGAGGGAAGACAGCCUUCGGGUUGUAAACCUCUGUUGCAGGGGAAGAAGGAAGUGACGGUACCCUGCGAGGAAGCUCCGGCUAACUACGUGCCAGCAGCCGCGGUAAUACGUAGGGAGCGAGCGUUGUCCGGAAUUACUGGGCGUAAAGGGCGCGUAGGCGGCGCUUCAAGUCGUCUGUCAAAUGGAAGGGCUUAACCCUUUUUCGCAGAC
rnacentral:rRNA from 1 species